rnacentral:rRNA from 1 species
UACGUAGGGUGCAAGCGUUGUCCGGAAUUAUUGGGCGUAAAGAGCUCGUAGGCGGUCUGUCGCGUCGGCUGUGAAAACUCGGGGCUCAACCCCGAGCCUGCAGUCGAUACGGGCAGACUAGAGUGCUGUAGGGGAGACUGGAAUUCCUGGUGCAGCGGUGAAAUGCGCAGAUAUCAGGAGGAACACCGGUGGCGAAGGCGGGUCUCUGGGCAGUAACUGACGCUGAGGAGCGAAAGCGUGGGGAGCGAACAGG